rnacentral:rRNA from 2 species
GGUCAAGCGAACAAGUGCAUGUGGUGGAUGCCUUGGCGAUCACAGGCGAUGAAGGACGCGGUAGCCUGCGAAAAGCUACGGGGAGCUGGCAAACGAGCUUUGAUCCGUAGAUGUCCGAAUGGGGAAACCCACUCCUUUUGGAGUAUCCAUGGCUGAAUACAUAGGCCAUGUGAAGCGAACGCGGUGAACUGAAACAUCUAAGUAACCGCAGGAAAAGAAAUCAACCGAGAUUCCCAAAGUAGUGGCGAGCGAAAUGGGAUGAGCCUUGCACUCUUUAUUUGUAUUGUUAGCCGAACGCUCUGGAAAGUGCGGCCAUAGCAGGUGAUAGCCCUGUAGGCGAAAACAGUAUGAAAGAACUAGGUGUGCGACAAGUAGGGCGGGACACGUGAAAUCCUGUCUGAAGAUGGGGGGACCAUCCUCCAAGGCUAAAUACUCGUGAUCGACCGAUAGUGAACCAGUACCGUGAGGGAAAGGCGAAAAGAACCCCGGGAGGGGAGUGAAAUAGAUCCUGAAACCGCAUGCAUACAAACAGUCGGAGCCUCGUAAGGGGUGACGGCGUACCUUUUGUAUAAUGGGUCAGCGACUUACGUUCAGUAGCAAGCUUAACCGUAUAGGGCAGGCGUAGCGAAAGCGAGUCCGAAUAGGGCGUUCAGUUGCUGGGCGUAGACCCGAAACCAGGUGAUCUAUCCAUGGCCAGGAUGAAGGUGCGGUAACACGUACUGGAGGUCCGAACCCACUAACGUUGAAAAGUUAGGGGAUGAGCUGUGGAUAGGGGUGAAAGGCUAAACAAACCUGGAAAUAGCUGGUUCUCUCCGAAAACUAUUUAGGUAGUGCCUCGUGUCUCACCUUCGGGGGUAGAGCACUGUCAUGGUUGGGGGGUCUAUUGCAGAUUACCCCGCCAUAGCAAACUCCGAAUACCGAAGAGUGCAAUCACGGGAGACAGACAUCGGGUGCUAACGUCCGGUGUCAAGAGGGAAACAACCCAGACCGCCAGCUAAGGUCCCCAAAUAUAGCUAAGUGGGAAACGAAGUGGGAAGGCUAAAACAGUCAGGAGGUUGGCUUAGAAGCAGCCACCCUUUAAAGAAAGCGUAAUAGCUCACUGAUCGAGUCGUCCUGCGCGGAAGAUGUAACGGGGCUAAGCUAUAUACCGAAGCUGCGGAUGCGAGCUUUGCUCGCAUGGUAGGAGAGCGUUCCGUAAGCCUGCGAAGGUGCCUUGUAAAGGGUGCUGGAGGUAUCGGAAGUGCGAAUGCUGACAUGAGUAGCGAUAAAGGGGGUGAAAGGCCCCCUCGCCGUAAGCCCAAGGUUUCCUACGCAACGUUCAUCGGCGUAGGGUGAGUCGGCCCCUAAGGCGAGGCAGAAAUGCGUAGCUGAUGGGAAGCAGGUCAAUAUUCCUGCACCAUUGUUAGAUGCGAUGGGGGGACGGAUCGCGGAAGGUUGUCCGGGUGUUGGAAGUCCCGGUCGCUGCAUUGGAGAAGGCGCUUAGGCAAAUCCGGGCGCGUAAUUCAAGGGUGUGGCGCGAGCUCCUUAGGGAGCGAAGCAAUUGGAAGUGGUUCCAAGAAAAGCCUCUAAGCUUCAGUCUAACGAUGACCGUACCGCAAACCGACACAGGUGGGCGAGAUGAGUAUUCUAAGGCGCUUGAGAGAACUCGGGAGAAGGAACUCGGCAAAUUGGUACCGUAACUUCGGGAUAAGGUACGCCCUUGUAGCUUGACUGGCCUGCGCCAGGAGGGUGAAGGGGUUGCAAUAAACUGGUGGCUGCGACUGUUUAAUAAAAACACAGCACUCUGCAAACACGAAAGUGGACGUAUAGGGUGUGACGCCUGCCCGGUGCCGGAAGAUUAAAUGAUGGGGUGCAAGCUCUUGAUUGAAGUCCCGGUAAACGGCGGCCGUAACUAUAACGGUCCUAAGGUAGCGAAAUUCCUUGUCGGGUAAGUUCCGACCUGCACGAAUGGCGUAACGAUGGCCACACUGUCUCCUCCCGAGACUCAGCGAAGUUGAAGUGUUUGUGAUGAUGCAAUCUACCCGCGGCUAGACGGAAAGACCCCAUGAACCUUUACUGUAGCUUUGCAUUGGACUUUGAACCGAUCUGUGUAGGAUAGGUGGGAGGCUAUGAAACCGGAACGCUAGUUUCGGUGGAGCCGUCCUUGAAAUACCACCCUGGUUUGUUUGAGGUUCUAACCUUGGCCCGUGAUCCGGGUCGGGGACAGUGCAUGGUAGGCAGUUUGACUGGGGCGGUCUCCUCCCAAAGCGUAACGGAGGAGUACGAAGGUACGCUAGGUACGGUCGGAAAUCGUGCUGAUAGUGCAAUGGCAUAAGCGUGCUUAACUGCGAGACCGACAAGUCGAGCAGGUGCGAAAGCAGGUCAUAGUGAUCCGGUGGUUCUGUAUGGAAGGGCCAUCGCUCAACGGAUAAAAGGUACUCUGGGGAUAACAGGCUGAUACCGCCCAAGAGUUCAUAUCGACGGCGGUGUUUGGCACCUCGAUGUCGGCUCAUCUCAUCCUGGGGCUGUAGCCGGUCCCAAGGGUAUGGCUGUUCGCCAUUUAAAGAGGUACGUGAGCUGGGUUUAAAACGUCGUGAGACAGUUUGGUCCCUAUCUGCCGUGGGCGUUGGAUAUUUGAAGGGGGCUGCUCCUAGUACGAGAGGACCGGAGUGGACGAACCUCUGGUGUACCGGUUGUCACGCCAGUGGCAUCGCCGGGUAGCUAUGUUCGGAAGAGAUAACCGCUGAAAGCAUCUAAGCGGGAAACUCGCCUUAAGAUGAGAUAUCCCUGGGGACUAGAUCCCCUUGAAGGGUCGUUCGAGACCAGGACGUUGAUAGGUCAGGUGUGUAAGCGCAGUAAUGCGUUCAGCUAACUGAUACUAAUUGCCCGUAAGGCUUGAUCCU